rnacentral:tRNA from 1 species
UCCUGGUUAGCUCAGCUGGUAGAGCGCUCCACCGGAAAUUGAGAGGUCCCUGCUUCAAUACCAGGACCAGGCG